rnacentral:rRNA from 1 species
CAGUCGCCGCGGGAAAACGUAGGUGGCAAGCGUUAUCCGGAAUUAUUGGGCGUAAAGCGCGCGUAGGCGGUUUUUUAAGUCUGAUGUGAAAGCCCACGGCUCAACCGUGGAGGGUCAUUGGAAACUGGAAAACUUGAGUGCAGAAGAGGAAAAUGGAAUUCCAUGUGUAGCGGUGAAAUGCGCUGAGAUAUGGAGGAACACCAGUGGCGAAGGCGACUUUCUGGUCUGUAACUGACGCUGAUGUGCGAAAGCGUGGGGAUCAAACAGGAUUAGAUACCCCUGUAGUCCCUGUCUCUUAUAC